UCUGCAGCCAUUGUAAGUUGAUACAGUGCCUCUAGCUCUUGUUGAGAUUAAUAGACGGCGAUAGUUCACGGACCAUCGUACACGUGUUGCGCAAGCUUUGUUUUA